rnacentral:rRNA from 1 species
GUGAACGCUGGCGGCAGGCCUAACACAUGCAAGUCGAACGGCAGCACAAGAGAGCUUGCUCUCUGGGUGGCGAGUGGCGGACGGGUGAGGAAUGCAUCGGAAUCUGCCCAUUUGUGGGGGAUAACCUCGGGAAACCGGGACUAAUACCGCAUACGACCUACGGGUGAAAGCAGGGGAUCUUCGGACCUUGCGCAGAUGGAUGAGCCGAUGCCGGAUUAGCUAGUUGGAGGGGUAAAGGCCCACCAAGGCGACGAUCCGUAGCUGGUCUGAGAGGAUGAUCAGCCACACUGGGACUGAGACACGGCCCAGACCCCUACGGGAGGCAGCAGUGGGGAAUAUUGGACAAUGGGCGCAAGCCUGAUCCAGCCAUGCCGCGUGUGUGAAGAAGGCCUUCGGGUUGUAAAGCACUUUUGUUGGGAAAGAAAAGCAGCCGGUUAAUACCCGGUUGUCAUGACGGUACCCAAAGAAUAAGCACCGGCUAACUUCGUG